rnacentral:lncRNA from 1 species
AAAAAAAAACAGAAAAAUCUUUAUUAACUCACAACAACACGUGAUGAUACCUGGCUAGGUAUCACUUGAUAGAAAAGACUACAAGAGCUGACAAUAAGAGCAAGGCUGCUACAACUGGAGGACUUUCAACGGAAUUAGAAAUAAAAAUUAAGUCCACAUUAGCAUGGGCUUAAUCUACAAAAACAUAGAAAAUCUAAACUUGAAGACCUGCUUGCCCAUCCCUCUUGUCUCCUUCUUCCUGACUUCCUAUUUGAUUCUCAUUCUCAAUCAUACAGUACUUCUUGAAGAAAUAACCCAAACACCUCAUCAGAAAAGGCACUGAAGCUAUAAACAAAAGAUAGCGAUAACGCACAGAUUUACGAGGAGUAACAGCAAAAACCGCAGAUGCAUAGGUUACCAUCAUUGAAGCUGUAGCAACCCAUAUUUCAACAUGGAAAGGGAACCUGUAAGUGAGAGAUGUAAUGACAAGUAUACAAGAGGAGAGAGCCAUAGUGUUUGAUACCACGAAAACAUAGUAAGCACCCGGUUGAGAUGCAUAAAUUGCUGUUCCUGCAACAUGAGUACCAUUUCCUGUAUCUUGCCAGACCCCUCCAGGAGGGUUCACCCCAGCCUGGAAAGUCACUGCCGCAAUCAAGGCCACAACUACUAGCAAAACAUUUCUCGCAUCGCUUGGUGUGUCUCUGUCUGGAUUAUACUGAAAUUUCUUGAACCAGCUAUAACUUCUUUUAGCAAUGUUUUUUUAGGCUGAGACAUUCUUACUUGGGCAAAGAUAUGUGGGAGAUACCAGCACUCUGGCUCUCAAGAGUUACUUAUAAAGACCCUCCGUUCUAAAGGAUGGGGCCCUGCCCUGAUCAAUUAUCACACAUGUUUCUCAUUUUUGAUGUCUGUACACCUAUAAUUAAUCAAGGAUGAUUAUAAAUGAUUUUCUAUAGCUAAUUUUAUCUUAAUUUGUUCUUCAUAUUUUUAUAAAUUAUACUUUAUAUUCUAUAACAAACAAAACACAUCAUUGAGGACAUAAAAUUAUAAUGAAAAAUGUAAUUUGUAAAAAUAUGGGGAAAAGGUGAAAUUCAUAUAAAAUUUACAGAAAAAUAUAAUUAUCCCAAUAAAUAAUAGCAUAUGGAUUCAUUAAAUAAAGUCUGAAUCUUAAUACACACACCGAUUCAUGUAAGAAUUUUCAAACUAAUUUAAUGGUCAAUGUUUACCCGAGUCAAUGCAAGUCAAUGAAUGUAAGAUUAUAUAAAUCUUGUGUGUAUAGUGAUUAUCAACGUCGAAUUCCUGGGUAUCCAAAUUAAUAGCCGCCACCAGGAAAACAACGGUGGAAAUUUAGCGAAAAGUUAAGCUAAAUUGCUUUGUUGUUUGGCAGAUGGACCCGGGGAAUCAAGACUCCUUUUCAAGUCUUUUAUUAAACAUAAAUUUUCCACGAAAACAAAGAUGGUUUCUUAAUCUUUGCUCACGCACACAGCUUUUCUUUUUCUAUUUUGUUUUCACGUUCCUUUCCCCCUUUAUUUUUCCAUGCGGUGCCAAUAGUUGUAAAAAAUUACUUCAAGACGUGGAAAAUAAAGUGUUUUUUACUUUAAGAAAUUUAUUGCAAAUCAAUUUUUUUUAAUAUAUUUAAUUAAAUAAAUUAAGAAUCGAGAAUAAAUUUAAGAAAAAGUUGUUAAUGCUAACUAAAAACUAAACAAAAAAAUUAAAAGAUAGAUACAUAUUAAAUUAUUUGAUAUCGUAAUAUAAUCUAUAAACACAAUUAAAUUUAAUAAACUUUGUUUUUUUGAAUUAAUCUUCAUUUAAUUAAAUAAUAUUAAAAAUAAACACGCUCAAAGAAGUUAUUGAAUAGAAUUAAAAAAAAAAUAUUACAUAAGGUUGCACAAAACAUCUACUAAUAUUGGAAAAAAAGUUAUAACCAAGUAAAAAUUAGAUAUUAAUCUAUUAAAAAAAUAUCAUAAUUCUUUUAAUUAAGUUAUUUUAAGUGAUUUCAAUUAAAAUUGAAUACUUGCUUGGUCAAACAUCUCACACUUUUAUUUAAUUAAUUUAUUUUAACUAAUCUUAAAUUAAAUUAAAAAAAAGUUCAAAAGGGACUAAAUGUUUGGGCCAAUAAAACAAAUGCCCACAUACGAAAGACUGCAAGGCCAACCUCGUGUACUUGAGCGUUCCUCUUUUAUUUUUUUUUCUCCACCAAAGAUGCAUAUGCAUAUGACAUGUUAUUCGCCUUUAUUUUCUUGGAAAAAAUUAAGAUAAAUAAUAUGUUUGAUCACUAUAAUGAUGGUUGAAAGGAGGAAGGGUGUUUGACCUAAAAAUUAUUUUAACCUAUUUUCAUAUAAAACACACCUAUUAUACACACACUUAGAGCAGUCCAAAAAUACAAAAUCAAAUUAGAGAUAAAAUUUUUUUUAUCUCAUCCCUGAUUUACCUUUUCAAACAAAACAAAUGUUCAAAACCAACACCAUUAAAUCACUUCAUUAAAUAAAACUUGUUGAUAUCAAGAACGAUAAGUAUUAUCUUUGAAAAGUAGUUAAAAAGAACUUUUUUUCUUGUUAUUUUCAAGUGACUUCUCUUUUUUUUUUAAAAUUUAGAGACUAAAAUGUUAAGAAAAUAAAUUUUGAAUCAAAAUUAAAAUUACAAAAACUAAAGAUACUUCAAAGUAAAAUGAAAAGUGUGCUAAACAAAACUUUUUCUCAAGAAUUUGGAAUUAUCCUUUUAUUGGUUUACACUUUGGUCAUUUUUUGUUAAAUUUUCUCUUUUCUUGACAAACUUUAAUAAAUUGGCAUUAAUUUAGGCAUUGAAAGUUGUAACUGAAAAAUAAAAUUUGAGAAUCAAAACUGAAAAAACAAAUUGCAGUGAUUUAGUAUAUGUUAUAAUAUGUUGAGGGGUCUAUAUUUUUAAGAAACCUAAUUUAGUCCCUAAUAUAUGUACUCAAUUUUAAUUGGAUCCCAAGCCUAACAAUUUUAUCUUAAAUGUUCUAAACAAUAUUUCUCGCUCAGGGUCUUAUGUUGACGUUAAUUAUUUUUUUAAUAAAGUUUUUUUCAAAAAACAUCAUUUUAUUACAUAAAAUAUUUAUAUUCAAAGGGAAAUAAUAACAAGCAAAUGAUGGAAGAAGGACUCUAUUGAGAAAUGUAUGAUUAAUUGAGAAGUACGAAGAGGCUUUAUUUUGAUUGCUUUGAAGUGUCCAAACCAACAAUGUCUUAACCCAACCUACGACAUUAGCUUUUGCAUAUGAUUUCUUCAGAGGCAUAAUAGAAUUUGGAACUUUAAUCAUUUUUGUGCAUGUAAUGGUAAUUAAAAUGGCAUUAACCUUAAUGCUUUUUCCAUAAAGGGAUAUUUAUUUUAUCAAAGAAUCAUUUUAACUUAAUAGUUUGAAUUGUUAGAUGAUAUUAUAGAAUAUAAUUUAUAUUAUUCUUUAAAACACCUUAUCAAGUAAAACUUUUUUAGACUUGAAACUUGCACAUGCCAACACUAUCCUGUAUUUUAUUUUUACCAAAUAAAUAGAGAUGAUGAGAUUUGAACUCGGAACCAUUUGGUUAUUAAGAGUUCUGAUACCAUGUUAAAAAAUCAUCUCAACUUAAUAACUUAAACUAUUAGGUAAUCAUUUAACUUGAUAAUUUAACUUGAUCAUUUUUAUAGUUCCACGUUCAUCUUUCUUAUCUUAUCAUUUAACUUCUUCUCCAUACAUUUUUAUUCACAAGGUUUUCUUUAGAGAUUGUGCACGGGAUAAAUUUUGUGUAUAUUUGUUUAGUAGAUGCAUGCUUUUUUGUCUAAUUUUUUUUUUGUUUUACAAGGUUUUCUUUGAGAUAUUAUAAUCAAGUUAAAUUCAGUGUAUGCUUGUUUAUAAGUCGUUUCAAUUAACGAAAUCUUAGUUAUUAAUUUAUAUUUUUAGUAGAUUGUUUUCUAUAAUCAAUUGAAAAAUUAUUUUAAUUUAAAAACUUAACUAAAUUAAAUAUAUCUACUUUACCUCUUGCUAUUUAUAAAUUUUAAUUAAAAAAAAGAGAAAAAAUAUGAAUGGAUUUGAACUUAUAACUAUUUAGUCAACAAGACUAUAACACAUGUAAGAAAACCACCCCAAUCUAAGAACUUCAAUAAUACUUCAAGAUAUAAUUUAUAUUAUUUUUUAAUAAUUAUUUUUAAAAACUAAUUUUAAAUGAUUUCCGAUCAAAUUCUAAAUAUGUGUAGAAGUCAUAAUCCAUAUGCAUAGAUGCAAUUUAAGAUUGAUUUUAUGAUCUGAAAUUGAUUGGCAUCUAGAUGCACUAUCUUUGAAAUGCCACAAGAUCAUAUAUAUUUGAAGAACAUAAAGCAGCUUAAACUAGAAAAUGGAAACUGUUUUUUAUGCUAGUUGAUGAUUGUGAAAGAGAUGCAGCAUUUCAAGCAUCUUCUCUUGAUUUUGUGGGCUGAUUCCAAUUUUAUGUUUGACCCAUAAAGGAGGCUCUGGGCUCCUUAAUGGACUAGAAAACCAAAGCCGAGCGACCACUCUAAAACAAAGCCCAAAGCGUACACUCAACUAAUUUAGUUCAAGCGUAUAAUGAUGGGCGCUGAAAAAAACGAGAAAAAAAUGUAAUGGGCUCAUAAAUCAGUAAUGGGCUCGGAAAAUCAAAUGGGCUUUUAGUCUUGGUUGGCUUUCAAUUGCCGGUCAUUGUCUAAAAUAUUUAUUUUCUUUUCAAAUGGCCCGUAAGAAAUAUUUAGAAGGAGCUUAGCCCAUCCCUAGAGGAAUAAAGACCUUCUAAAGUAUAUUUCUUCUUCUUUUGGAAUAAAAUGAUUUUGAGUGCCUAAAACUCGAUCAAAGUAUCUUUGGAAAGAAAUCAUGUUGUUAGAUACUCAAUGUUAUGUCAUAAAAAUAUUAGAUUUGAUUUAAAUAAUUAAAGCUUCGCAUUUUGUCAAACAAGAAAAUGAUUAUAUAUUUUUUAAGAAAACUAAUUCGGAAAAUACCUUUCAUCUAACUUAUCACUAAUUACUCAAAAUUAAAUCCUCUCUACAAAUAAUAUUAAUGACAUAACAUAAUUUUGACUUGAUGUAUUUAGGAAUUAAAUUUUCUUGAAUGUUGGUUACAAAGUUUAGAUUAAAGAAAAAUUAAGAGUAAUUAUCAAACUAUUUAGUGAUUUAACUUAAUUUAGAUAAACUAAUUAAUUUUUUUUUUGGAUAAGACUAGAAAUGAAUUAGUACAAACGUCAAUACAUUACAUCGAACUUAGUUAACCCAUAACUCAAGUAACAUGGAGUAUUGGCUAGGUUUAAAUGGCCUAAACUCAUACUUAUAAUUAGUCCAGUAACUCGCCAAAUCAACCUAAAAACCAUGUGAUUUGACAAAACCUGGAUGAGACCUGACCUUUUGUUUUUAUAUACCAACAAAAAAACCUAAAAAAUAUAAAGUUAAUUUAUGAAUAUUUGGCUUCACAUUUUUUUUAUAGCUUACAUUUCCAUGAAAUAUUUGUUAACCUUUUCAUGUGAGAUAACUAUAUUUAUAGCCUAUAUAUAUAUAUAUAUAUAUAUAUAUGGAAUGUUUAUUAACUUUUAAAUGUGGGAUAAAUAUAUACCCUUCAUUCACAUAGAUUAUUUUUUAAUUAUUUUAUGGGAUAACUAUAUAUAUAGACUAUAUACACAAGUAAUGUUUCUUUUAAUUUUUUUAUGUAGGAUAACUAUAUAUAUCUCAUAUCCACAUAAAAUAUUUUUUUAACUUUUUAAUAAGGAAUAUUAAAAUCUUAUUUUUAAUUUUUUUUUUUUUAAAUUAACUAGGGUUAAUUAAUCUGUCUGUAUACCUUAGACUCCACUUCUUGGUAUUAAAAACUGAAUUGAGUUGCUGGUUAAUUCACUGAUGGAUAUUGGGAAUUAAUAAAUUUUUAUUAUACAGUUGUUUGCCUCCUGCAAAUUUUCUGGCGUUUCAACAAUGCCUUUGGAAAAAGUGCUAAUCUUACAUCUACAUCCCUUAGCGAGUGUUCCUCACGCCUGUCUUCUUGUUGCGAGACUUGUUUGCUCGAGAACAUACAGUAUGAAACAAGGAGUGAUCAAGAUUUCCAAUAUUAGAAAGUACUUUCUCAUAUCACCUGCCCAAGUUUUUGCAAACUAGUAGAACAAACAGUAUGCUGAGGAGUCUUUCAGUCCGCAGAACAAAUUUAUUAAAUGGUGUUUGAAAGCGCCAUGCUCAUAUUGUAGAGUAACUAGAGUUCAAGCAACAGUUCGUCAACUCAACAAUUCUGUAUUUAAAGAAAAAGAUCACAGCAGCCCUCAACACAUGUAGCAGCAACUGUUCGUCAACUCAACAAUUCUGUAUUUAAUCACAGCAACACAGGAUAAUACAAGAGCAUGGCUAGUUAUCACACUUAAUUAUAAAAGAGUACAAGAGCUGACAAUAAGAGCAAGGCUGCUACAACUGGAGGACUUACAACGGAAUUAGAAAUAAAAAUUAAGUCCACAUUAGCGCAUGGGCUUAAUCUACAAAAACAUAGAAAAUCUACACUUG